rnacentral:misc_RNA from 1 species
UGGUAUGCCCGAAGUCGGUUUAUAAACAAACUGCCUAAGGCAGGACUGGUGACUGGGGUUAAGUCGUAACAAGGUAUCCCUACGAGAACGUGGGGAUGGAUCACCUCCUUUCUACGGAGUACAAAAAAACUUUUACUAAUUUAUUAAAACCCAACCUUUUAUCACUAGGCCUUGAUUUAUUUUAUUUUGUUAUGUGGCUUUUGGGCCUAAAAGUCUUAUAUCUAGUUUUGAGAGAAUAUCUCUCAAUGUUCUUUGAAAACUGAAUAGUAAAUUUUUGAUAUUUACAACGACAUCUAAAUAAAUUGAAAAGUCAAUUUGUUUUGAUUCAUCGAGUAAUCAUUUAAAAAAUGAUUCAUUGAAAUGUCUUAAAAUACACAUCAACAAUCUAUACAAUAGGAAUUUUACUUUUAAAUAAGGAAGAGUUUGUGGUGGAUGCCUUGGGUCUGGAAGUCGAUGAAGGACGUGCAAAACCU